CAGAAUUUGGCUCAGUGGUAGAGCACUUGCCUAGCAAGCGCAAGGUCCUGGGUUCAGUUCCCAGCUCUGA
rnacentral:tRNA from 1 species